UAGGGAAUCUUCCACAAUGGACGCAAGUCUGAUGGAGCAACGCCGCGUGAGUGAAGAAGGUUUUCGGAUCGUAAAGCUCUGUUGUUGGUGAAGAAGGAUAGAGGCAGUAACUGGUCUUUAUUUGACGGUAAUCAACCAGAAAGUCACGGCUAACUACGUGCCAGCAGCCGCGGUAAUACGUAGGUGGCAAGCGUUGUCCGGAUUUAUCGGGCGUAAAGCGAGCGCAGGCGGAAUGAUAAGUCUGAUGUGAAAGCCCACGGCUCAACCGUGGAACUGCAUCGGAAACUGUCAUUCUUGAGUGCAGAAGAGGAGAGUGGAACUCCAUGUGUAGCGGUGGAAUGCGUAGAUAUAUGGAAGAACACCAGUGGCGAAGGCGGCUCUCUGGUCUGCAACUGACGCUGAGGCUCGAAAGCAUGGGUAGCGAACAGGAUUAGAUACCCUGGUAGUCCAUGCCGUAAACGAUGAGCGCUAGGUGUUGGGGGACUUUCCGGUUCUCAGUGCCGCAGCAAACGCAUUAAGCGCUCCGCCUGGGGAGUACGACCGCAAGGUUGAAAC
rnacentral:rRNA from 1 species